CGACAUUUACCUGAGAUACAGAAAAGCAGAUGGUUAGGAGCUGGUACACAAAUAGCAAAUGUUUUAGGAACUUUUAUAUUGCUAUGAUAAAAUCUGUUGAUCAACUAACAGAAGAGAUUGUUUGUGCUAACAUUUCCAGAGGGUCAGAGCCCAUGAUAACAGAGUGGAGGCAUAGUGGUUGAAAAUGGAAACUGAGGGCUUCCAUCUUGAACCACAAGCAGAGAGCAGACAGAGUGAACUAGGAUUCGCAUGUGGCUUUUGGAACCUGUGGUGGUUUGGAUGACAUGAUCCUCUUGGCUCACAUAUUUGAAUGUCUAAUUCCCUGUUGGACUGUCUAGGAAGGAUUAGGAGGUGUGUUACUGGGGUGGGCUUUAAAAUUUCAAAAGCUCACAUGUCCAGUUUUACUCUCUCUGCUUCCAUUUUGCAGGUCAAGUGUAAGCUCUUGGCUAUUUUUCCAGCACUAUAACUCCUGCCUGCCACCAUGCUCCCCAGCAGGAUGAUCCUGGACUCACCUUCUGAAACUGAUCUGUGAGUUGACAGCCCAGCUGGGCAAAACAGUGUCAACACAGUCCUCAGAAAGGAACCAAGAAAGGUCAAUGAGUGGGGAUAUUAGAAAAUAAGAGUGCUCUCUGCAACAAAUAGUCUUUUUUUUCUUAUCAAAUGCAAAGAACUACACACUUGCAUUCUGCUGAAGAUUGUCGACUUAAUUUAGAACUGAGCCUGAGUAUGGAGAUGCACUACUCUCUCUAGUAUUCAUGUUUAAAAGCUUAAUUCAUGGUGGCUUCAUGAAUCCACUACUUCCUAGAUGUGUGAUCUUACACUAAGUUUUUAUGUCUUAUCCUUUCAUAUGUAAAAUGUGGAUACUAACUGUACUGACUUCAGGGUUGUGCUGGGGUUAUGAUAUAUGCUAUAAAGUCUCUAUAGAGAAGACCCUCAAUAAGUGUCAGUUGUUAUUAUUACUACUUUCAUUAGUGGUGACUUAGGAAAAGGAUCCCCUUUUUGUCCAUUACUGUAUCCAC
rnacentral:lncRNA from 1 species